AUUGCACGCUGGCGGCAGGCCUAACACAUGCAAGUCGAGCGAGCGGCGGACGGGUGAGUAAUGUCUGGGAAACUGCCUGAUGGAGGGGGAUAACUACUGGAAACGGUAGCUAAUACCGCAUCCCAUCAGAUGUGCCCCGAUGGGAUUAGCUAGUAGGUGGGGUAACGGCGCACCUUGGCGACGAUCCCUAGCUGGUCUGAGAGGAUGACCCGCCACACUGUAACUGAGACACGGUCCAGACUCCCACGGGAGGCAGCAGUGGGGAAUAUUGCACAAUGGGCGCAAGCCUGAUGCAGCCAUGCCGCGUGUGUGAAGAAGGCCUUCGGGUUGUAAAGCACUUUCAGCGGGGAGGCGUUACCCGCAGAAGAAGCACCGGCUAACUCCGUGCCAGCAGCCGCGGUAAUAC
rnacentral:rRNA from 1 species